GGGUAGCAAAGCCGGGAGAACCGCUGAGACGAGCCUUGCUGUGUGUUCGCCUGUACUGGUCGCUCCUGGAUGCCCCCAACACCUGCUGCUGUCCCGGGUGGGAUCCCUCUUGUGGGGCACAGCUUCAGCCUUGGUACUUCUCCCCAGGCCUCGUUUGUUUCCUCAUUUGUUCAGAGGAUUCUGAUGCGCCAGAGGUGGCUGCCCAGGCUCCUCACCCCGACCUUGCCAGAUUCUUUUGGAGCUGGAGUCCUCAGAGCCAGCCUCCUGGAAGUGUCCCCAUCUGUCCCUGCAUCACGGCCCCUCACCAGGAAGCUCCUGGUUCCUCACCACCCAUCCAUGCCUGUCCCACACCCCACACUCCCACCUCUCCAGUCUAUCUUUUCUGUCUUAGGGAGCAGAGUCCAGGCUGGGAUAGCAAGUGCAAGGGGCCUGUGGCUGGUGGCAGUGGUGGGAGGGGGUUGGAGGGACACACCCAGGCAGUGGAGUGGGGUGAGUGAGAGAAGAGGAAGUUGAGGGUGUCACUGGUUGGGGUUGGCCCAGGCAGUUCUGUCUCAGGCCUGGGUGGAGACUGCAAGUCCAGAGUCAGCCAGAACCCCACCUGCUUGAUGGGAUGUGGGUCAUAGUCCCCAGUUACCUGGGAGUCACAGGCUUUGAGACACAGCAGCUCCAACACCCCCAGCAGCAAGGGACCUCUGCCUCGUCUUGCAGAAAGAGGUCCCAGGGAUUGCACGGCCCUGGGAUGUGGGCCCUGAAUCCUUUUCCUGAGCUUUGGGGAAAUGCAAAUUAACCUCCAAGAGAACAGUGUGGUGGUGUUUGCCAUCACCCCAGCCACUAGGGAGGCUGAGGCAGGAGGAGUGCAACAUCAAAGCCAGCCUGCACUAUUAGCAAGACCUGGCUCACAGUAAACAAGACCCUGUCUCAGAGUAAAACAUGAAAAGGGCUGGGGUUGUAGCUCACUGUGAAGCCUUCAGGUUCCAUCCUCAGUGCCACACUUACAUAAAAUAAAAUAAUAAAAAAAUUAACGUGACCAGUCCUGUGGCAUUUUUGUCUGGGUGUCUCGCCAAGGAAUUGAGAGUAGGUCCGGACCUUGCCACCAUGGGUCCAACCAGAGCCAGAGGCAAAGGGCGUCCCAUUGCCCGGCAGAAGUUCCUCAGCCAAAGAGCAGGGCAGGGGCACCUGCACCCAUGCCAGGCCCCGAGGAUGUUAGCUGGGUCCGGAAGCCAGGCGCAGACAGACAACACAGCAGCGGUUCACUUCUGAGCGGGCCCUGGCACAGUCACAGUGGGGACAGAAAAGUAGGACGACACAGGCCAUAGGUGCUGUCUGUCUGUCUGUCUGUCUGUCUGUCUUUGAGGUGCACCUCAGCAAAUGAGAACUCACAUUGUGAUCAGCAUGGGGACAUGGGUGCUGGAGAGAGACUAGGGCACUCUGAGCCUCCUUUCCUCCUCAUGAGCUGAGAGGAGAAAGAUCCACUGUCUCACCAAGCACACAGGGACAACAUUGAGGCUGGGAAGAGCCAAGGGCCUCGUCUGAGACUGCUCAGUGUCCUUUGCACUGACAGCUUCUGCAGCCAGCCCGCAGGAGCUGGGCUGGGCCUCCCCUGGGCUGAGCUUACCUGUGUCAGUCAGCAAGGCCCCGCUGUGCUGCAGUGACAAAGGAGCCCAGGUGGAAGCGCCUCAGCACCACGAAAGUGUGUCCUGCAUCCAGCAAACUCUGCCAGGAGUCCAGGUGACCCCUACGGCUCUUGCCUAACAGACGGAGCCUUGGGGGUCCAGGUGUUCAGGGUGGCUGGUGGGAACCGUCUCUGAUUGUGUCUCUGCUGCCGUGGUCGGGGCUGCUGAGAUUGGCUCUAUGCAUCUGCACUAGAUGGGUGUGAAGAUGUCUGGGGUAAAUGGCCAAACGUGGAGCUGUGUGUCCAGGGAUGGCGUCUCCAGGGUAUAGCAGCUUCUAAGGGGAGCUGCAGAUGUACUGCAAUUGGGGCUCCAGGACCAAGUGGGGAAGCUCUCUCCCCCAAGUUUUCAGAUGGGACCCUGGGAAGAAGCAAAGGCAGCUGUCACCCUGCCCACCUGACUGGGUGCUCUGUGAGCCUCUGGGGUUGAGCACCCC